AGAUACCCUUGCCUCCUGUUUGUCCAGUUAACACCAAAUUUGGAGGAUGCAAGUAGCUAAGAACAGAGAGAACUGAUUUUCUUCCAAUAGCAAUAGCAAUAGCACUUAGACUUAUACACCACUUUACAGUGCUUUACAGCCCUGUC